rnacentral:rRNA from 1 species
GAUGAACGCUGGCGGCGUGCCUAAUACAUGCAAGUCGAGCGACCAGACGAGUAGCUUUCUCCUCUGACGUUAGCGGCGGACGGGUGAGUAACACGUGGAUCACCUACCUAUAAGACUUGGAUAACUUCGUGAAGCCGGAUCUACUACCUGCUCAUAUAUUGAACCGCAUGAUUCAAUAGUUCAAGACGCUUUUGCUGUCUCUUAUAGCUGAAUCCGCGCCGCAUUAGCUAGUUGGUAAGGUAACGGCGUACCAAGGCGACGAUGCGUAGCCGACCUGAGAGGGUGAUCGGCCACACUGGAACUGAGACACGGUCCAGACUCCUACGGGAGGCAGCAGUAGGGAAUAUUCCGCAAUGGGCGAAAGCCUGACGGAGCAACGCCGCGUGAGUGAUGAAGGCCUUCGGAUCGUAAAACUCUGUUAUUAGGGAAGAACAAAUGUGGAAGUAAACACGGACGUCUUGACGGUACCUAAUGAGAAAGCAACGGCUAACUACGUG